GUCAUCCAUUUGCUUGGUGAUGUCACAGACCCCCAUCUCACAGCUCCCGAUAAGAAAACUUGUUCAAUGGUCAAUCAAGGGUCAAAAGACCACCUGCUGGCAAGGAUUGUCAAGAGGGAGUCAGGAAGAAAACAGCCUUUUAGAAGUGGAAACCAAACUCUGGGACCAAAUUAUCUGAAAAGAUGACAUUGGGAAAAGGCACAGGAAGUGAAGAUGAAAGAAGGGAUUAAGAAUCCCGCAAAGAUAGUGCUGGCCAGAGCUAAGGCACUCUCUGAAUUCUUUAGUUUGGUCUGAAGCCAGGCAUAAUCAUUAAGAGUAAAAUCUUACUCUAGAAAUAGGAGUGGAAAUCUGAACCCUCGAGCACUUCGAGUUCUGUCCAACAGACAAGACCUGAGGCAGAGCUGUAGCCUCACAGACAUGUGCAGAGAUGGGCUCUGUGUACCAGGAGGAGCGUUGAAGAAGUGGCCUGGUGAGCAUCCACCCUGUUGAAAGAGCUCGCCAUGAAAGCCCUUUGUGCAGCUGCUCCCUCCAGCCUUCUCCACGCAGUCAGACCCCUGCUCUGUGCAGACUCCGGGCUGUUAAAGGUAAUGGCUUCAUUUAUUUCCGGCACCACCAGACUUCUCCAGCACCCCCACAAAGAGGAACCUCUGGCCGGCUGCUGCUCCUGGGCUGUCAGCUCGGAGGAGAGGAGCUGCAUUCUCAGAGGUCUGUGCCUCCCCCUCUCAGCCCUCAGCGACACCAACUCAGGAAUGACCCACAGGAGUCCAUACACUUGCAUUAAAAUCUUUG